rnacentral:rRNA from 1 species
UACAGAGGGGGCAAGCGUUGUCCGGAAUUACUGGGCGUACAGCGCGCGCAGGCGGUUCAGGACGUGCCGUGUGACAAUCGUCGGCUUAACCGACGGAGGCCAGGGUACACGACUGAACUGGAGGCAGAGAGAGGGAUGUGGAAUACCCGGUGGAGCGGUGAAAUGCGUAGAGAUCGGGUGGAACACCAGGGGCGAAGGCGGCAUCCUGGCUCUGUUCUGACGCUGAGGCGCGGAGAGCGUGGGGGAGC